UUGGAGUGAUGAGACAACAAGCUGAUUUAGUGCAGCGGCAGCAGGAGGCUGCAAUGCGCCAGGACGAGCGAAUGAAACGACCCCAGGAAACCGUGGACCGGCUGGUGACAGCACCAGCUGCGGCUCGUCGAGAACGGCCGGGAGUUGCGACGGAGAUGUUUCCGUCGGAGUCGGGUAACCCGACUUCUGUGAGUCUAGAGGUAGCGGCGGAGAGGGACCGUGUAAGGUACCGAACUUUUAAAAUUAUGAAGUUACGGUGGAUGUAGUAUGCUGGAUUUUUAAUAUAAAAAUAAAUAUAAAUAAAAAUAGUGUGAGAUACUACUUUUAUUGGACUUAAGGGUGUAAAGUAUAAGUUAAAAAUGACCUGUGCUGAAAUCAGAGCGAAAACAGAAGAUUUAGAUUUUCUGUGAGAGACGGAGCAGAUAAAUUAGCAAAAAAUGCAGUGUCAGAAAAUUAUGAAAACUGGAGGAUAUGUCAGAAUUAUUUUUGUGAGGCUAGAAUUAAAGUUUCA
rnacentral:lncRNA from 1 species